rnacentral:tRNA from 1 species
GCGCCGGUGGUGUAAGGCGAACAUCGAACACCCGGAAAGCAGAAGAUGCAGGUUCGAGUCCCGCCUGGCGCA